ACGGGGCUGCACGGUGCGUUAGGCAGCACUUACCCCUGGGGCGAUAUCCAUCCUCUGAGGGAGCUGUCUCUGACGAGGUCUUGGCCUCGUUAUUCGCGGCGCCCACCUGCUUGGCAGGCCGCAGAGGGUAUGCAUACGCCGACGGCCGAGGCGGCUCCGUC
rnacentral:other from 1 species